GCAAGUUUAAUUUGCAUUGCAUGGCUCAAUGGGCAAAGACAGUAUUAAGUUCUUUAUAUUAUAAAGAAAAAACCUGAAGCCUAAAACUCUAACCAAGUCCCUCACUGACAAAACAAGCCCAAAACACAUAGGCCCAACCCCUAGCAAAAAACCCUAACAGAAAUAACUAAGAAAACCUAGUGAUUUCUUUUACCUUCAGUGCAAUGUCGUUAACAAUGACUGAGCA
rnacentral:misc_RNA from 1 species